AUUGAACGCUGGCGGCAGGCCUAACACAUGCAAGUCGAACGAGUGGCGGACGGGUGAGUAAUGUAUGGGAAACUGCCCGAUGGAGGGGGAUAACUACUGGAAACGGUAGCUAAUACCGCAUACCAUCGGAUGUGCCCCGAUGGGAUUAGCUAGUGGGUGGGGUAACGGCUAACCAAGGCGACGAUCCCUAGCUGGUUUGUGAGGAUGACCAGCCACACUGGGACUGAGACACGGUCCAGACUCCUACGGGAGGCAGCAGUGGGGAAUAUUGCACAAGGGGCGCAAGCCUGAUGCAGCCAUGCCGCGUGUAUGAAGAAGGCCUUCGGGUUGUAAAGUACUUUCAGCGGGGAGGCGUUACCCGCAGAAGAAGCACCGGCUAACUACGUGCCAGCAGCCGCGGUAAUUC
rnacentral:rRNA from 1 species